rnacentral:rRNA from 1 species
GUCUAUGGCCAUACCACCCUGAACGAGUCCGAUCUCGUCUGAUCUCGGAAGCUAAGCAGGGUCGGGUCUGGUUAGUACUUGGAUGGGAGACCACCUGGCAACACCGGGUGCCGUAGGCU